UUAAGCGACUAAGCGUACACGGUGGAUGCCCUGGCAGUCAGAGGCGAUGAAGGACGUGCUAAUCUGCGAAAAGCGUCGGUAAGGUGAUAUGAACCGUUACAGCCGGCGAUGUCCGAAUGGGGAAACCCAGUGUGAUUCGUCACACUAUCGUUAACUGAAUACAUAGGUUAACGAGGCGAACCGGGGGAACUGAAACAUCUAAGUACCCCGAGGAAAAGAAAUCAACCGAGAUUCCCCCAGUAGCGGCGAGCGAACGGGGAGCAGCCCAGAGUCUGAAUCAGCUUGUGUGUUAGUGGAACGGUCUGGAAAGUCCGACGGUACAGGGUGAUAGUCCCGUACACCAAAAUGCACAGGNUGUGAACUCGAAGAGUAGGGCGGGACACGUGGUAUCCUGUCUGAAUAUGGGGGGACCAUCCUCCAAGGCUAAAUACUCCUGACUGACCGAUAGUGAACCAGUACCGUGAGGGAAAGGCGAAAAGAACCCCGGCGAGGGGAGUGAAAAAGAACCUGAAACCGUGUACGUACAAGCAGUGGGAGCACCUUCGGGUGUGACUGCGUACCUUUUGUAUAAUGGGUCAGCGACUUAUAUUCUGUAGCAAGGUUAACCGUAUAGGGGAGCCGCAGGGAAACCGAGUCUUAACUGGGCGUUAAGUUGCAGGGUAUAGACCCGAAACCCGGUGAUCUAGCCAUGGGCAGGUUGAAGGUUGGGUAACACUAACUGGAGGACCGAACCGACUAAUGUUGAAAAAUUAGCGGAUGACUUGUGGCUGGGGGUGAAAGGCCAAUCAAACCGGGAGAUAGCUGGUUCUCCCCGAAAGCUAUUUAGGUAGCGCCUCGUGAAUUCAUCUUCGGGGGUAGAGCACUGUUUCGGCUAGGGGGUCAUCCCGACUUACCAACCCGAUGCAAACUACGAAUACCGAAGAAUGUUAUCACGGGAGACACACGGCGGGUGCUAACGUCCGUCGUGAAGAGGGAAACAACCCAGACCGCCAGCUAAGGUCCCAAAGUCAUGGUUAAGUGGGAAACGAUGUGGGAAGGCACAGACAGCCAGGAUGUUGGCUUAGAAGCAGCCAUCAUUUAAAGAAAGCGUAAUAGCUCACUGGUCGAGUCGGCCUGCGCGGAAGAUGUAACGGGGCUAAACCAUGCACCGAAGCUGCGGCAGCGACACUAUGUGUUGUUGGGUAGGGGAGCGUUCUGUAAGCCUGCGAAGGUGACCUGUGAGGGUUGCUGGAGGUAUCAGAAGUGCGAAUGCUGACAUAAGUAACGAUAAAGCGGGUGAAAAGCCCGCUCGCCGGAAGACCAAGGGUUCCUGUCCAACGUUAAUCGGGGCAGGGUGAGUCGACCCCUAAGGCGAGGCCGAAAGGCGUAGUCGAUGGGAAACAGGUUAAUAUUCCUGUACUUGGUGUUACUGCGAAGGGGGGACGGAGAAGGCUAUGUUAGCCGGGCGACGGUUGUCCCGGUUUAAGCAUGUAGGCUGGUUGUCCAGGCAAAUCCGGAUAAUCAAGGCUGAGGUGUGAUGACGAGGCACUACGGUGCUGAAGUAACAAAUGCCCUGCUUCCAGGAAAAGCCUCUAAGCAUCAGGUAACAUCAAAUCGUACCCCAAACCGACACAGGUGGUCAGGUAGAGAAUACCAAGGCGCUUGAGAGAACUCGGGUGAAGGAACUAGGCAAAAUGGUGCCGUAACUUCGGGAGAAGGCACGCUGGUGUGUAGGUGAAGUCCCUGCGGAUGGAGCUGAGACCAGUCGAAGAUACCAGCUGGCUGCAACUGUUUAUUAAAAACACAGCACUGUGCAAACACGAAAGUGGACGUAUACGGUGUGACGCCUGCCCGGUGCCGGAAGGUUAAUUGAUGGGGUUAUCCGUAAGGAGAAGCUCUUGAUCGAAGCCCCGGUAAACGGCGGCCGUAACUAUAACGGUCCUAAGGUAGCGAAAUUCCUUGUCGGGUAAGUUCCGACCUGCACGAAUGGCGUAAUGAUGGCCAGGCUGUCUCCACCCGAGACUCAGUGAAAUUGAACUCGCUGUGAAGAUGCAGUGUACCCGCGGCAAGACGGAAAGACCCCGUGAACCUUUACUAUAGCUUGACACUGAACAUUGAGCCUUGAUGUGUAGGAUAGGUGGGAGGCUUUGAAGCGUGGACGCCAGUCUGCGUGGAGCCAACCUUGAAAUACCACCCUUUAAUGUUUGAUGUUCUAACGUUGGCCCCUNACCGGGGUUGCGGACAGUGUCUGGUGGGUAGUUUGACUGGGGCGGUCUCCUCCCAAAGCGUAACGGAGGAGCACGAAGGUUAGCUAAUCCUGGUCGGACAUCAGGAGGUUAGUGCAAUGGCAUAAGCUAGCUUGACUGCGAGCGUGACGGCGCGAGCAGGUGCGAAAGCAGGUCAUAGUGAUCCGGUGGUUCUGAAUGGAAGGGCCAUCGCUCAACGGAUAAAAGGUACUCCGGGGAUAACAGGCUGAUACCGCCCAAGAGUUCAUAUCGACGGCGGUGUUUGGCACCUCGAUGUCGGCUCAUCACAUCCUGGGGCUGAAGUAGGUCCCAAGGGUAUGGCUGUUCGCCAUUUAAAGUGGUACGCGAGCUGGGUUUAGAACGUCGUGAGACAGUUCGGUCCCUAUCUGCCGUGGGCGCUGGAGAAUUGAGGGGGGCUGCUCCUAGUACGAGAGGACCGGAGUGGACGCAUCACUGGUGUUCGGGUUGUCAUGCCAAUGGCACUGCCCGGUAGCUAAAUGCGGAAGAGAUAAGUGCUGAAAGCAUCUAAGCACGAAACUUGCCCCGAGAUGAGUUCUCCCUGAGACUUUAAGUCUCCUGAAGGAACGUUGAAGACGACGACGUUGAUAGGCCGGGUGUGUAAGCGCAGCGAUGCGUUGAGCUAACCGGUACUAAUGAACCGUGAGGCUUAACCUU
rnacentral:rRNA from 1 species